rnacentral:rRNA from 1 species
UACGUAGGGCGCAAGCGUUAUCCGGAAUUAUUGGGCGUAAAGAGCUCGUAGGCGGUUUGUCGCGUCUGCCGUGAAAGUCCGGGGCUCAACUCCGGAUCUGCGGUGGGUACGGGCAGACUAGAGUGAUGUAGGGGAGACUGGAAUUCCUGGUGUAGCGGUGAAAUGCGCAGAUAUCAGGAGGAACACCGAUGGCGAAGGCAGGUCUCUGGGCCAUACUGACGCUGAGGAGCGAAAGCGUGGGGAGCGAACAGG